UACAGAGGGUGCUAGCGUUGUUCGGAAUCAUUGGGCGUAAAGGGCGUGUAGGCGGUUUGUUAAGUCAUGUGUGAAAUCCCUGGGCUCAACCCAGGAACUGCGUCCGAUACUGGCAGGCUUGAAUUCGGGAGAGGGAUGCGGAAUUCCAGGUGUAGCGGUGGAAUGCGUAGAUAUCUGGAGGAACACCGGUGGCGAAGGCGGCAUCCUGGACGAUAACUGACGCUGAGACGCGAAAGCGUGGGGAGCAAACAGG
rnacentral:rRNA from 1 species